rnacentral:rRNA from 1 species
UACGGAGGGGGCGAGCGUUAUUCGGAAUUAUGGGGCGUAAAGGGCGCGUAGGCGGCCCGGUAAGUCGAAGGUGAAAUCCCUCGGCUCAACUGAGGAACUGCCUUUGAAACUGUCGGGCUUGAGGCCGGGAGGGGGUAGCGGAAUUCCCAGUGUAGCGGUGAAAUGCGUAGAUAUUGGGAGGAACACCAGUGGCGAAGGCGGCUACCUGGACCGGUUCUGACGCUGAUGCGCGAAAGCGUGGGUAGCAAACAGG